UACGGAGGAUCCAAGCGUUAUCCGGAUUUAUUGGGUUUAAAGGGUGCGUAGGCGGUUUGAUAAGUUAGAGGUGAAAUCCCGUAGCUCAACUACGGAACUGCCUCUGAUACUGUCAGACUAGAGAAUAGAUGCUGUGGGCGGAAUGUGUGGUGUAGCGGUGAAAUGCUUAGAGAUCACACAGAGCACCGAUUGCGAAGGCAGCUCACAAAACUAUAUCUGACGCUGAUGCACGAAAGCGCGGGGAGCAAACAGG
rnacentral:rRNA from 1 species